rnacentral:rRNA from 1 species
AUUGAACGCUGGCGGCAGGCCUAACACAUGCAAGUCGAACGAGUGGCGGACGGGUGUGUAAUGUCUGGGACACUGCCUGAUGGAGGGGGAUCACUACUGGAAACGGUAGCUAAUACCGCAUACCAUCGGAUGUGCCCAGAUGGGAUUAGCUUGUAGGGGGGGUAAGGGCGCACCUAGGCGACGAUCCCUCGCUGGUCUGAGAGGAUGACCAGCCACACUGGAACUGAGCCACGGCCCAGACUCCUACGGGAGGCAGCAGUGGGGAAUAUUGCACAAUGGGCGCAUGCCUGAGGCAGCCAUGCCGCGUGUAUGAAGAAGGCCUUCGGGGUGUAAAGUACUUUCAGCGGGGAGGCGUUACCCGCAGAAGAAGCACCGGCUAACUCCGUGCCAGCAGCCGCGGUAAUUC